UUAAAGCCAAACAAUUAUUUUGUAGAUGUGACCACCAUAUCCACAAAUGCUUCUCCUACAUCUGCAAUUGUGCACACCUCAACAGUCUCGACUAACCCUUGCGGUGACGUCCACUGCACUGAAGAUGAGGUAUGUGGGGAAGUAUAUGGAAUCUAUGGCUGCUUGUGCAAGAGCCAUCACCAACCUAUCCCAGAGUCAUUUGGAUUAGUUGCCACAUGCCACAAUAGCUCCUGCUGGAUUUCACUGUCCCGCUGCCUCCUCUUUGAGGCUGGCUUUCCUGCUCAUGUUCUACACCUCAACGAUCCAGGCUGCACAGGCACAGU